CCCCAAAGCCCUGUCUCCUCAGAACUUCAUAUUCCACCGUUUCCUGUUAAAGCUAAAAUUCCACUGAACCUUCCUGUAUGUGCAUAUGCACAUCUAGCAGAAUCCUGAAACACCAUGGAUUCAGUGGAAAUUUCCCGUCAGUUUAUAAAUGCUGUCAGAGCCAGCUAUAAUAAAGAAACCACAAGUUACUUGCUUUAAUCUUCAACAGAACACCAGGAUUUUGGCAGGAGACACUUUCAUCAGAAAGUUUAUAACUAACAGUUGGGGAUGUUUUCCGCUAACAGGCAUACGUCAAAGUUUCUAUUUUAUGCAGGACCAGGCUUGGACUAUUAUGAAUGUUGCUGAACACUGUUAAUCAAGCUUACACAGCUAUUUUGAUGGCAAACAAUUAGAACUCUGAAGCAAUACCUUGCAAUUAGCUUCAGGGAUAUGGACCUCAGCACCGUAAUAAUGAAAGAGACCUUCUCCUUCAAGCAAGGUAAUGAGAUUUACAAUUAUGACCCCAAAUAACCUCUGAGAAAUAACCAAUCUGCAAACAUAGAUGUGUUUAUCAAUAAUUUGUGCCCUUUUUAUGAAAAUGUAUUUUAAUUUUUUUUUCACCUAUGAGUCAUUGUUUCUACUGAAGCACAGUGUAUAAAGCCUUAUAAAAUGACAAAAAUAUAAAUUGAAAGUCUGUAUAUAUAAUUUGAAUCCACCGGAGGGGUCUACAGAAUGAUAUGCAUCAAAAAAUUUCAAAUGUUGUGAGGAAAAUAACACUGAAAACUUGUGAGAAUAUACUGACAUUAUGAAAAAACUUGGGUGGUUAUAGUAACUUGAAAAUACUUAUUUACAUGUUUAGUAAACAUACACAAACAUAUACAUAU
rnacentral:lncRNA from 1 species